rnacentral:rRNA from 1 species
CACGUAGUUAGCCGUGGCUUAUUCAAGGGGUACCGUCUUCUGCUCUUCCCCCUUAAAAGAAGUUUACAACCCGAAAGCCUCCUUCCUUCACGCGGCGUUGCUGGGUCAGGCUUGCGCCCAUUGCCCAAUAUUCCCCACUGCUGCCUCCCGUAGGAGUCUGGGCCGUAUCUCAGUCCCAAUGUGGCCGGCCAACCUCUCAGUCCGGCCACUGAUCGUCGCCUUGGUGGGCCGUUACCUCACCAACUAGCUAAUCAGACGCGAGGCCAUCUUCCAGCGAUAAUCUUUGGCGUCAGAGUCAUGCGGCUCCAACGCAUCAUGCGGUAUUAGCAGUCGUUACCAACUUGUUCGUCCCCCUCUAGGGAAGGCUACGGUUCCUCACGCGUUACUCACCACGUCCGCCAACUAAGCUACUUCCCAUUCCGUUGUACCCGAAAACUCCUUCGAGGGGUGCCUCCGUUCGACUUG